CAUGCAAGUCGAGGGGAAACGACAUCGAAAGCUUGCUUUUGAUGGGUGUCGACCGGCGCACGGGUGAGUAACGCGUAUCCAACCUGCCCACCACAUGGGGAUAACCUUGCGAAAGUAAGACUAAUACCCAAUGAUAUCUCUAGAAGACAUCUGAAAGAGAUUAAAGAUUUAUCGGUGAUGGAUGGGGAUGCGUCUGAUUAGCUUGUUGGCGGGGUAACGGCCCACCAAGGCGACGAUCAGUAGGGUUCUGAGAGGAAGGUCCCCCACAUUGGAACUGAGACACGGUCCAAACUCCUACGGGAGGCAGCAGUGAGGAGUAUUGGUCAAUGGACGAGAGUCUGAACCAGCCAAGUAGCGUGCAGGAUGACGGCCCUAUGGGUUGUAAACUGCUUUUAUAAGGGAAUAAAGUGAGUCUCGUGAGACUUUUUGCAUGUACCUUAUGAAUAAGGACCGGCUAAUUCCGUGCCAGCAGCCGCGGUAAUACGGAAGGUCCGGGCGUUAUCCGGAUUUAUUGGGUUUAAAGGGAGCGUAGGCCGGAGAUUAAGCGUGUUGUGAAAUGUAGACGCUCAACGCCUGCACUGCAGCGCGAACUGGUUUCCUUGAGUACGCACAAAGUGGGCGGAAUUCGUGGUGUAGCGGUGAAAUGCUUAGAUAUCACGAAGAACUCCGAUUGCGAAGGCAGCUCACUGGAGCGCAACUGACGCUGAAGCUCGAA
rnacentral:rRNA from 1 species